rnacentral:lncRNA from 10 species
UCUCACUCUGGCAGAAAGACAUCCUCUCCCUCAGGCACCUUGCCUCUUAACUCACUGCUUUGAACUACAGCCAUAUGGGAACCUGUGGAUUGGAUGAUUCUGCGUUGUGGCAGCAUUGUCAACUGAUGGACCCACCAGUUCCUGAAUCCUGCUGACUAAUGGAUCAUUGUCAACUUGCUGGAGCUUUGAGGAAGCCUGUGUGAGUAUUGUGGCUGUGCUUCUGUUCCAGUCUUCUUUAUUGAGGGAAAUAUUUGAGAAGAGUCCUUACUGCUUAAAACUAAAGCUUGGGAAUUGCUUGCUUGAGUUAGAUUUACCCAAAAAAGAAAAACGUAAAAAAAGAGACAAAAUGUAAGCAAGCUACACUGAUACACGUCUCGGACACAGCUUCCUCCACCCCAUGCCAGGCUAUGUGCUGCCAUUUGAACGGGUAUCAACUUUCUUGUUGUUUAAAAGGAAAGGGCCCUGGUGGGCUGAUUCUGUGACUCGGUGCACAUAUGGCAGACCCAGUGCUGUCAUAAAGAAUUCAGUGAUCCCAGAACUGAUUUAUUUUAUUUUGUUUUUAAAUCUGAAGACCAGGUUCUUUUGAGGUAUUAAGUUCUGGGCACCAGCGUUUGCAGAUAUAUCACUGCUCAGGGCAGAAAUGCCUUCCUGUGCAGGGAAACCUCCCAAGAAGAGUGAGCCUCCUCUCCUCCUGCUGGUGAGACCAGAGAAGUGUUUCUAACAUUGUUGAAAUGAAGCAAAGUUAUCCUUCUUUUGACCCUGCUGUAGCAUCUGGGGUCAUCUUUUUGUUUACUGUGUAUUUGUUUUUGACCUUCAGAAGGUCCUGGUGGCACAGCCCAACAAAGACUAGAGAAUAAAACAAACAG